GGGUCAGUGGGUUGGUCAUGCCACUGGUAUGUACUGGUCUCACUGAUUCCUCCUUCCUGAUGAACUGUAAUGCCAUUAAUUUGGUGUUGCAGGAAAUCUGGACUGUUACUUUGAAAAAAUUAGAGUGUUUAAAGCAGGCUCACGCUUGAAUACAUUAGCAUGGAAUAAUGAAAUAGGACGUUUGAUUCUAUUUUGUUGGUUUCUAGGAUUGACGUA
rnacentral:rRNA from 1 species